CAGAACAUAAAGGGUGAGAGAAAUCGGUUAAUAUAAUGAUAAUGAGAACACCUUUGGCCUGAAGUCAGUUCUCACAGUAUUGAGAGAACUUAGAGAAAAAAAAAUAUGAAGAUACGGAAUGCAGGAAAACAUUAUUCUGGACUUGGGACCAUACAUUAUGUUAUAAAACUAAAAGUGGAAAAAACUUACUGGUGAAUGAAUGUAGGAAACAUUUUGCCCAGUGCCACUCCUCAUUAAACAUCAGAGAAUUCACAUGAUGUGAAGCCUGUGUCAGCAUCCCUAGGUUGAGAAGGGAUGCAUUUUUCUGCUACUACUACAGUUUCACAGAAUAUCUGAGAAGACACACGGGAGAAACCACUGGGGUGUAAUGAAUGUGGAAAAACCUUUUGUCAGAAGUCAGCCCUAAUUUUUCACCACAGAACUUGUAUAAGACAGAAACCCUACGGAUGUAAUGAAUGUGGAAAAUCAUUCUGUGUGAAGUCAAGAGGCCAGAGAAAAUGCACAAACUAUAGGAAACUAUAGGAAAGCAUUUACUAUGAGGUUAUAUUUUAUGGAGUAUGUGUAAUACGAAGUAGCUUCUCAACAUCAGAUAGUAGAGAAAGUAUUUUUAACUGUAUCUAAUAUGUGGACGUUUUAAGUUAAAGUCUAAAUUUAAUAUAGAACAGAGGUGUUGAAUUGCAGUAUAUCUAGCAACUUAAGAAAAUGUGGAAAAAAGAUAUACCUUUGGAGUCCAACCCUUCUGACCAUCCAGAGUCAAGCACAAUAUUCCUGAGAAAAUCUCAAACAGAUGGUGAGACAACAUUGUCUUUUCUGCCAAGAAAAAGAGUGAAAACUCUUGUUGUUUGAUCAGAUGUAUUAUAGAAAGUAUUUAGAAACUUGUAUUGGUUUGAUUUUUUAUACUUUUCACAUAUUUACUUGUCUUAUUUUAAUAUGUUAUAUACUUUUUCUUAAUUGUUACUGUG
rnacentral:lncRNA from 1 species